UUCUGGCGGUGAACGAAAGGUGAACCUCUGGCGAAUGGUGCAGCCGCUGAUGGAGAAAGGUGAAGCUCUGGUGGCGAGGUGGUUGUUCUAGCGGCGGCGACCGGGCAAAAGGUUGAUUUUAUGGCGGUGGUGAACGGUGCAGCGAGCUGGAGAAGCUGUCGGAGUUGAGAGUCACAUGUAACUUUCCUUUUUUCGUCCGUCCACGAGGCUGUAAAAGAGAGAGAGGGGCGGCUAUCUAAUGGGAGUGCAAAAUGAGGAUGGGAAUGUGUUGUCCCCGCCUUCGCCGGCGAACUGGAUCGAGAGGGAACAGAGUGAGGGCGGCCAACUGGAGGGAUGGAGAUAGGUAGGGUGAGGGCGGCGAAAGGAAGAUGGGCAGGGUGAGACGAGAUGUUGGAGAAAGU
rnacentral:lncRNA from 1 species